UUAGGAAUCUUCCCCAAUGGGCGAAAGCCUGAGGGAGCGACACUGCGUGAAGGAUGAAGGCUUUCGGGUUGUAAACUUCUGAACGAGGGACGAUAGUGACGGUACCUCGGAAAAGGCACCGGCUAACUCCGUGCCAGCAGCCGCGGUAAUAAGGAGGGUGCGAGCGUUAUCCGGAAUCACUGGGCGUAAAGGGCGCGUAGGCGGUCUGUCAAGUCCGAUGUUAAAGCGUGGGGCUCAACCCCAUCAGGGCGUUGGAUACUGGCAGGCUAGACGGCUGGAGAGGCAAGUAGAAUUACCAGAGUAGCGGUGGAAUGCGUAGAUACUGGUAGGAAUACCGAUAGCGAAGGCAGCUUGCCGGACAGUUGGUGACGCUGAGGCGCGAAGGUGUGGGGAGCGAACCGGAUUACAUACCCGCGUAGUCC
rnacentral:rRNA from 1 species